CUUGCCCAAAUAAUGGCUGCAUUGUCAGCUCGACCAUCAUUUUAAAAUAUGAGCUCCCGCAUUUCUCCUUCCCCUCACACCACAUAUCUUUACACGAUGCAAUAAAAGAGUGUAUGCCAGAGAGGUGCAUUCAAUACUUCCCUACUUGAGGGGAUCGCAUAUACAAAAUUAAAAUGCAGUGAUCACAUCACAGAUUAUAAAUUGUUUUCUUAAUUUACACACACUGUACACCUGCUUUCCCAAAUCAGCAUUACCAUAUCACCAUGUAUCCAACCUUUAGGCGCAACAGGCAACCUACAAUUGGAGUGAUGGUUCAGUAAGAUAGAACAUUUAGCACAAAGAAAGAUGAAUUUUGAAAAAAAAACUUUCAGUGAACACAGAAAAAAUCGAUGCUCGACUGACUUAAUACCAUCUAAAAAUAUGCAAGAUAGUAAUAAGAGGUCAAGCCAACCAAGUGAAAGACGUUUGAACUGGAAUUAGACACAUUGUACAUCAUGAAUCAUUAGGAGCUGGACCCCAUAGAAUCUUUUCGGCUUCAGUUUUAUGAUUAGAAUUUGGCAUUAAACUAAAGACUUUUUUUUCUUGUCCACUCUUCAGUUGCUAAAUUAUGAUUCAUAAAGUUAAUAGUGCAUCUUGGAAAAGGUUAUAAUAGUUUUGGUUACAGGGUUGAUGAUAUAUCUAUGGAUAUUAUAGUGAUUGAUAGUCCAUGGUUCAUUUGAGCUCACUUUGGCGCGAAUGCGGUGAUGAAGGUUCGACCUGCAGUUUCGAAUUUCCCUUGACUCAUUCAGUGCAGCUUCCUUCAUGACGUAUUCCACAUGCUAAUAUGAACUUUCUCAUUGUAUAUAAAUUUUCAGGAGAGAAAAAAGGAAAAAGAUGUUACGGUUUUCCUUGCAGCUCAAUUUUCACACCCUUCCCAGGUUAAUAUUCACUAUUUUCUUUGGACCAAAUUUAUGCUGCCUUUUCUCUGUACACACGUCAUCAAAACUGAACAAAGAGGCAUCACAUAGGUUUACAUGGCGCGUGUGAACAUGGUUUAAGAUAUGAUGUUUCUUGGAGAGAGCAAACUAACCUUUUCCAUUUAAUGGUUUAUUAACUAAAAUAUUGAUCGACGGCACAUUCUGAUGCUUCAGCUUUGUUUUUGCUUUCUUGUCACUUAAUUGGGUAAUAUAGUAAGAAAGCAUACUGAAUGAGACUCGAAGGAAUUUUGAUGUCAACUCAUGAUUAGCAAAACUUAAAAUGAUCUCUUUAGACAAGUAUCGGAUUAAAGAGACCAAUAUAGAACCAUAUUAAAUAGGGACUGAGCUUAGCUGGAAGGUGAGAAAGAAAUUACAAUUGCUAUUGGUGCAACAUUACAAAAUUUAACUUAGUUAUCUAUCAGAUUUCUUGACUCAAAUUCUACCUAGCAAAGAAGAAGAUUGAAUCCCCAGAAAAGCCAUGCUAAAAGAAAUAGAGACUCAAUGAUUGACCUCAAUCAAAUUAUUUGUUAAAUAGAGACUGAGCAAAGAGGGAAGGUGAGAAAGAAAUUACAAUUGCUAUUGGUGCAACAAUACAAAUUUUAGCUUAGCUAUCUAUCAGAUUUCUUGACGCAAAUUCUAGCUAGCAAAGACGAAGAUUGAAUCCCCAAAAACCCAUGAACUUGUUUUAAAUACAUGACAAAAUCUAGCUGAGCUAAACCUUCCUGGAAUCUUAUGUGGAUUUUUAGAGUUUAGACCAAGGAGAAAUGGGGAAAUAAUUCGGGAUAGAGGGUAGUGUACGAGGGAGCCUUAGAAUAGCGGGUAGCCUAGCGAAGUUUAUUGGAAAAAGGUGGCUUUUGUCUCGUCAGUGAGUUUGUUGCCCAAUGCCCAUGCUACUGAUAUAAUGUCGUUCAUGACAUACCUCACCCAGUUCCAAUUCGGGAUGUCAUCCAAAUUUUUUAGAGCCACAAAAUAUGUUGGAAGAAUAACUACGGAUCAAAUGGACCUCGAACUUUAUCUCACCGUGAACACCACAUAAAUCACACUCUAACAUGGAGGCCUCAGCCAUCACCAAGGCAUCUCAUGGAACAUGGGGGAAACUCCAAAUCGAGCAGAGCAACACAAAAAUAGGAAUCAGGCAUGAGGAAAGGGGAAUAAGCUAACCUGGGUAAUGGGAUCAGCAGGUUGAGGAGGGUGCCACCGUGCCAGCGGCCUCCACGAGGAUAAUCUUGCACACGAUGUCGCCUCAAGCAAUGGAUUGCCACCACCAGAACCGAAGCACUUGUUGUUCAUGGUUUCAGUUAUGAGAUAUCCCGUCAACUGAGGUACAAAUCACAAAUAGGUCAGCUCACGAGCUAAAGAAUAUAAUCUUAUCCAAGAAAAGACAAAAUAGUCCGCAGCAGCAAAGCUUUAUUAAGUUCUUUACUAAGAAAGCGAACUUAGAAACUACAGCCCAAACAGAGAAUAAAUGGUUUAGAACAGGCAUAAAUCUGAUCCAUCUUCCAUCAUCAAUAAUAAAAAUAGGAAAUCUUGAAAUCCUUGGUCCAAACAUCAGAAGUGACAAAAGUCGAAGCAAGCAGUGAACUGAAAAUUACUCUGAGAAAAACUUUUGUUUUGUUGACUCUAAACAAAGCCCAUGCCCUGCUGUCCACGCAAUACAACAAAUUAUUAGCCCAAGCUUGAAGUACUAACAAGAACGAAUCCCUUUCGUUAUUAAUUCAUUAAAUGAACAGCAGAGAAAGUGGAUGCAUGUGCAGGCAUCGUAAUGAAUGGUACUUGAUGAAGAGAAAUAACUAUGCUAAUAUAUGACUUUGCUAACUAAUCAAUCUGCUGCAAUCACAGUUGGUGCAUAACACUAAACGAGCGCUUGUGAUUAGGACAAUGGUUAUAGAUAAGUAAAGAGAAAUUACAAAACAAGGUAUGACGAGACUACCAAAUCAGCCUGAGAAAGUAGGAUCAACGGAAACAUAACAAAGGAGACAGAAUAAUGAAUAUUUAGUGGAGAUGAGCUAGUUGACCCUACAGGCCAGAGGAAGAGCUCACGAGAAGGUUAGGCCAGCGAAUUUGGGACCGAUGCCUGGAAGGAAGAAGCAAAGCACUAAAAAACACAUCUUGUUCGCGCCUAACUAUGUUGUGCAGUUGCGCCGAUGGCCUCAUCGUCUGAGGCAACUCCACAUGUCUCCACUAUAAAUCUAAAGCGUGAACUGGGAGGACUUCUGCAAUUGUUAAGCGAAUCCUGCAUACAACCAUGACAUUGGCUACAAAUUUGAUCUUCACCUCCCGAUGCAAUUACAACAUAUGAUUAUGCACAUAUAUAACAGUAGUAUGAUGGAUUGACUACCAUCAAGAAGAGAACAUAAACUGACAGAUUUUCCGGUAAAAAAACUGGCUGCGUUAAUUUUUACCUUUCCCACUGCAUAACCAAAUGUCAUUAACUAUCAAAUUAGUCGCAAAUAAGACUAAAAUCACCAACGGGUUGCUACCUUGAUGCUUUAUAUUUCUUCUAUGUGUCUUGCUGUCCCCUCCAAGUCACUGACGCGCCCGGUCGAUCCUAAAGUUUGUCAUUUCCUUGUGGAGUU
rnacentral:lncRNA from 1 species